CAAUAGCGUAUAUUAAAGUUGUUGCAGUUAAAAAGCUCGUAGUUGGAUUUCUGGUAGGAUGACUGUGCCCUCAGUAGAGUGUGCGCUGGCGUCUUGCCAUCCUUCUGUUAACCUUUGGGAGCUUCACCGCUCCCUUUGGGGCUCAGAUAUUUUACCUUGAGAAAAUUAGAGUGUUUCAGGCAGGCUAGCGCCGGAAUACAUUAGCAUGGAAUAAUGGAAUAGGACUUUUGCCUCUUCUGUUGGUCAUGGGGUUCGAGUAAUGAUUAAUAGGGAUAGUUGGGGGCAUUAGUACUUCACUGUCAGAGGUGAAAUUCUCGGAUUUGUGAAAGACUAACUUAUGCGAAAGCAUUUGCCAAGGAUGUUUUCAUUGA
rnacentral:rRNA from 1 species